CCACAACUAAGGCUAUUUGCUUGUGUAUAUUGAUACACACCUUUCACCAUCUUUAUAAUCAUGCAACACUAAAAUUUUGUGUGAACGUUUCAAACUUAGACUUGACAAACACCAUUACCAGGUUGAAAUGUUUUCGAGUCAUUCUUUGUCUAAAUAAAUUCAUUUUAAAUUGAAACUGGUUUCUCAUAAUUAAUUUUUUAUAGUAUACAGAGCUGUAAAAUAUUCUGGUGCUAG